AUCUCAUUUAUGCUAAGCGGCUAGCGUUAGCCCGGCUCGGGGGGUCCUGUGUGCAGCCGCAGAGCACGUUUCCUCCUCUGUUUUGUAAACGCCACACGCCUUAACAACUAAAAGUCCAGACUGUCAUGUUGACUUUGUGUCAUGGAAUGUAUGGCUUCUCUAUCUCGGACACUGCGCUUAACCUAGCACCGGCUAGCAAGUAGCCACGUGUAUACCAGACCAGGCCGGUGGCUGGACAACUGUUUACUAAGUCAGCUACGCUAGCCACUUUUGCCCAACAGCAGGCCCUGUGCAGGCAGGUUGUCCUUUCGUUAGCCGCUGCUAAUUUACUAGCUAGACUUGUUGAGAGUUGACGUUAGCACGAGUGGUUAGCCGCGGGACAACAAUAAACAAGCCUGCGGCACUCCACAGAGACACUGCAACAGCGGGACGCUUUGAGAUAAUAACAGCCUUGUCAGCAACAGAGCAGAAAGUUACACUCCUCAAAUCGGAGCACCUGGGGGGCAAACCUGCAGGGCUUGGAAAACUCUAGUGUCUCUGAGGUACCACAUGAUAAAACUCAGUAAUUAACCCUGCUGAGUGGUUGGCCUGGAAACCGCUGGCUCCAAAUGACCCUGUCCAACCCCAUCUCUCAAACCUUUGGAGGACCCAGAGAUGAUGGCGUGUCGAACCCCUCCUACAUCCAGCAGCCAUCUGGCUCCCUGGUCACACUUAUUACAGCCGGGGUCUGGAGAGGGAGCCUGAAUCUUUAGGCUGUGUGACAAGACCAGAUAUUGUCAAGUCCGACCCCGACGGGAAACCGUCAGAGGGGGAACGUCUCUGAUUAAUCUUUAGCAAGUGACGGCA